GACGAACGCUGGCGGCGUGCUUAGCACAUGCAAGUCGAACGGAAAGGCCCUUCGGGGUACUCGAGUGGCGAACGGGUGAGUAACACGUGGGUGAUCUGCCCUGCACUUUGGGAUAAGCCUGGGAAACUGGGUCUAAUACCGAAUAGGACCGCGCGCUUCAUGGUGUGUGGUGGAAAGCUUUUGCGGUGUGGGAUGGGCCCGCGGCCUAUCAGCUUGUUGGUGGGGUAAUGGCCUACCAAGGCGACGACGGGUAGCCGGCCUGAGAGGGUGACCGGCCACACUGGGACUGAGAUACGGCCCAGACUCCUACGGGAGGCAGCAGUGGGGAAUAUUGCACAAUGGGCGCAAGCCUGAUGCAGCGACGCCGCGUGAGGGAUGACGGCCUUCGGGUUGUAAACCUCUUUCACCAGGGACGAAGCGCAAGUGACGGUACCUGGAGAAGAAGCACCGGCCAACUACGUG
rnacentral:rRNA from 1 species